GACGAACCGUACGAACGUUAUUCGGAAUUACUGGGCUUGAAGGGUGCGUAAGCUGCGCGGCAAGUUGGGUGUGAAAUCCCUCGGCUCAACCGAGGAACUGCGCCCAAAACUACCGUGCUCGAGGGAGACAGAGGUGAGCGGAACUUAGGGUGGAGCGGUGAAAUGCGUUGAUAUCCUAAGGAACACCCGUGGCGAAAGCGGCUCACUGGGUCUCUUCUGACGCUGAGGCACGAAAGCUAGGGUAGCGAACGGG
rnacentral:rRNA from 1 species